rnacentral:rRNA from 1 species
UACGGGGGGAGCAAGCGUUGUUCGGAUUUACUGGGCGUAAAGGGCGCGUAGGCGGUUUCUGCAAGUCAAUUGUGAAAUCUCCGGGCUUAACUCGGAAAGGUCAACUGAUACUGCAGGGCUAGAGUGCGGAAGGGGCAACUGGAAUUCUCGGUGUAGCGGUGAAAUGCGUAGAUAUCGAGAGGAACACCUGCGGCGAAGGCGGGUUGCUGGGCCGACACUGACGCUGAAGCGCGAAAGCUAGGGGAGCAAACGGG